rnacentral:lncRNA from 1 species
UACAUCCCACUGCAACACUAGUGGAAUUCAUUGUUGCAAUCUGAUUCAGCUGCAUAUAUACUGUAUAAAAAUUUCAUAGCCUCAUGAGUAUGAGGCUUGCUCAUUACAACAAGGUGACCUUGCUAGAAAUAUGCCCUAUGACCUUUUUCUUUUCUUUUUGAAGUCAAAUAAAUAAAUAAAUACACCAAAAAUAAACAAACAACAAAUAAACAAACAGAGUAGUAGAACAAAUGUUGGAAUCAGUGGAACAAACUUACCCCUAGGUAAGGAUAUCCAGUGUGACAUAACUGAGAGGUAUAUUCAGAGGGCAAAAGACCUUUUCUGGUCUUCUGUUCUGAUUGUGAUACAUUCCUUUCCUGACAUAAGGUUGUGGACUAUAUUUGUUUCCCUCUGCCCUUUUAGUACCUAGGCUUGUUUUUAUCUCUGUCCCAGAAUCAGAGUUCAUGACACCACACAUUACAACUGAAUGAUACCACAUGACAUCUGAUCAUACAGCACACUGGGGCUGUUUCUCUGAUACUCUACAUUACACCUCCAGAUAUGCUUACAUUUUAAAAAUUUAUAUUUUAUUUUAUUUAUUUUUUAUUUUUAUUUUUUUACUGUGUCUUCAAUCUGAGCUGACUAAGCCCAAGUCAAGUUCAGGCUAUGGGUGGCAUCUGUUUUGGUGGCCUCACACUUUGAUCUGCACAAUAGAGCAGGUAAUAAACUGUUUUAGUACAUCUCUACCCUAUCCAGGAAGCUCAGAGGACAAUGAAGAGUGUCUUGAUCACAGUUCAUCUGAGGUAGAAGAUCACUUAGCUUUUCUUCACAGGACUGCAGCUGAGAUCCACCGCUCCCAGGAGAUGGUCGGUGAUACAAGGUAGAGAUUUCACCCCUGAAUACUGAAGAAAAGGAGAAGAAAGAAAAAGUCUGUUGGAGAAGUACCAAAUUACAUAUCGUUCAGAAGUGAAACAAUCUUUGCUGGUUUUAGAAAGCAGCUCUAUUGCAAAUAUCGUUGUGGUAUACGUUUACCCUCCUAGACUUCUUUUAUACCAUUUCCCUAGAAGGUAGCAAAACACACUGGUGCUUUGGAUAAAUAGAAACCCAGAACAGAUAGAAUAAGUAGCAUGGUCAUGGUUAUACAGAAGAUAUGUGGCUAAGCAGGAGCUUGAAUAAGGAUCUCAGCAUUACAGCUCUGCUAAUCUGAAUACCUCUGCUUUCUGCGACAGCAGACAGACAGGCAUCAAUGAAGUAAACUGGAGAUACAACAUAUUAAACAGAGUCUGCAUGGGCUCAAGCUAGGGAAAUCAAUUGCUUAAACUGUUGAAAGCAGAGAGAUAAUAUAGGCAAAAUCUUCACUUUAAUUAUUAACUGCUUUCAGCUUUUUAUUUUUUUUAUUUUUUUAUCAGAAUGGAGGAAAGGGGAAAAAAAAAAAGAAAAGAAAAAGAUUUAUCAGAACUGAGUGAUCAAAAAGAUUAUUUCUUUUUUUCUUCCUAAGAAAAGCUGCAACAAUUCUUCAUCAAUUAUAAACCAAGAAAGACAGGGGCAAGAAGAACACUUUGCAUGCAGGCCUCCCGCGCUUCCCCCCCUUCCCCCCUUCCUUUUCUGUCCCCCUCUCCCCCCCCCCCCCCCCCCCCCGUUCUUCCUUUGGUCUCUUUGCUCUUUUGCUCCUUCCUCAACCAAGAGCAGUUCUGCCACUGUGAAUACAUACCUGGUGUACAGCAAUGGUUCAUGGUUAGGUGAUUUUGAUCUGUGCUUUUUAUCUGGGGGGGGGGGGGCGGGGAAGGAGGCUGCGUGGUCUCCAUGCAGAUAUAGGAAGAACUUUCUGCUUCUGUGGUCUUUUGCCUCUGAGGGCAUACUACUAUGCCCAGCCUCUGGAACCAUGACACGCACACAAUUCACACCACUCAGUAUUGAGAUUUAAUGACCGAUAUUAAUAGUAGUCAGUUAAAAGGGAGGGAAAGUGUCUUUAAAGAUCUGAAGAUGAGUUCUCUUCCUUCUGCCUGCACCACGACUGCUUUCAAUUCUGCUGAGGAACUAGUCUACUCUUUCUCAGUCCAAACCUCCCUUUUCUUCUCUUUUCUUCCUUUUCUCCCUUUUCUUUCUUUUCUUUUGCUUUUGAGUUCUCAUUUCUUUUCUCUCUUUUUUUUUUUUUUUAUCUUCUACCUCUUUGUUCCUCUUCUCUGUGGACCUCACUGCAAAGAUCAGAUUUCUUUUGUUUUUGCCACUUUCAUUUUCACUUUCUAAAACUCAUUAUUUCUUUUGAUGACCAGCAUUCAUCCUUCUAAUAAUUCAGAUAUAAAGAAAGAGUAUGUAAAGAGAAUAGCUAAUAACUUCCCCUCAUAAUGUUUCAGUCUGCAAUAGGAGCUGACAUCCUCAUGAGGGCAUGGUAACAAGUUUUGGAGAAACUUGUGAGGGACCUGCCAUGGAAAUUAACAGGAAAGAUGGUAGCCACAAAGAAAAGAAAAACAAAUUCUUCCCUGGGCUGGUGACAGCCCCUUAACUCAUUUGUGUUUUCUUCUCAAAGGCACAACUGAAAAAAGCCUACAGAUGGGAAAAUGGGAUGCAAGGAUUGAUGUUUGAAUAUCAUGAAAAUGGACCAGAUCCUCAGCUGGCAUAAAUCAACACAGCCCCACAGGAAUCAAUGCAGCAAUGCCAAUUUACACCACAUGAAGACCCAGCCCAAUAAAUCUAUCAUGCUCUGGAUAAAGGGGUGAAUG